AGCUUAGUGGCGGACGGGUGAGUAACACGUGAGCAACCUGCCUUUCAGAGGGGGAUAACAGCCGGAAACGGCUGCUAAUACCGCAUGAUGUUGCGGGGGCACAUGCCCCUGCAACCAAAGGAGCAAUCCGCUGAAAGAUGGGCUCGCGUCCGAUUAGCCAGUUGGCGGGGUAACGGCCCACCAAAGCGACGAUCGGUAGCCGGACUGAGAGGUUGAACGGCCACAUUGGGACUGAGACACGGCCCAGACUCCUACGGGAGGCAGCAGUGGGGGAUAUUGCACAAUGGGCGAAAGCCUGAUGCAGCGACGCCGCGUGAGGGAAGACGGUCUUCGGAUUGUAAACCUCUGUCUUUGGGGAAGAAAAUGACGGUACCCAAAGAGGAAGCUCCGGCUAACUACGUGCCAGCAGCCGCGGUAAUACGUAGGGAGCAAGCGUUGUCCGGAAUUACUGGGUGUAAAGGGAGCGUAGGCGGGAUGGCAAGUAGAAUGUUAAAUCCAUCGGCUCAACCGGUGGCUGCGUUCUAAACUGCCGUUCUUGAGUGAAGUAGAGGCAGGCGGAAUUCCUAGUGUAGCGGUGAAAUGCGUAGAUAUUAGGAGGAACACCAGUGGCGAAGGCGGCCUGCUGGGCUUUAACUGACGCUGAGGCUCGAAAGCGUGGGGAGCAAA
rnacentral:rRNA from 1 species